UUCCCAACUCCCCUCUCGCGGUCUUUCUUCCUGAAUCUGAUUCCUAAAAUGUCUUCCAGUGGACACGAGGAGGAGAGCUCCCAUCCAAACUGUUCCCAGGCAAACGUGUCCUUGCUCCUGAUCCAUGUGGAAUUCCAAGUCCCCCUGGCAGAGAGCGGCUUCUGGGACUCUGGGAGGGAAGAAUCUUCUUUAACCCCAGUGGAAGUGCAAGCAAAGGCUGUUGGCAGUUGGGCGUGAUUGCCCAGAACACCAGGGACCCGCCUGGAGGUCUCUGCUCCCAGCCUGACCGCUGGCUGCAGCCCUUUCUCCCUGGGCCCCUACAUCCCACCUCCCAUCACAUCCUAGCCCAGAGGUGGGUAUCACCAAUAGCUCUCCUGGCCUGCAAACAAAAGGCCAAGACCACUGCAAGAAGCGAAGGAAUCAACCCCACGCGCUAAAUGUAGGGAGUUUGCUUUGGUUCACAUUUAUUUUUUCCUUCCCACUGGUGAAACAAAAGAAAGUUUGUUGUUGAGGUUCAAACAUUUCUUGGGCCUUGUCCGAGUCUUACCUUGCUUUUCUUUUCCUUUCUGUC
rnacentral:lncRNA from 1 species